AGCCGCGGUAAUACGGAGGAUGCAAGCGUUAUCCGGAUUUAUUGGGUUUAAAGGGUGCGUAGGUGGGCUUAUAAGUCAGCGGUGAAAUCCCCCGGCUCAACCAGGGAAUUGCCGUUGAUACUGUUAGCCUUGAGUACAGUUGAAGUGGGCGGAAUGUAGCAUGUAGCGGUGAAAUGCAUAGAUAUGCUACAGAACACCAAUAGCGAAGGCAGCUCACUAAGUUGUAACUGACACUAAUGCACGAAAGCGUGGGGAUCAAACAGGAUUAGAUACCCUGGUAGUCCACGCUGUAAACGAUGAUCACUCGUUGUUGGCGAUAUACAGUCAGCGACUGAACGAAAGUAUUAAGUGAUCCACCUGGGGAGUACGAUCGCAAGGUUGAAACUCAAAGGAAUUGACGGGGGCCCGCACAAGCGGUGGAGCAUGUGGUUUAAUUCGAUGAUACGCGAGGAACCUUACCUGGGCUUGAACGUAUUAUGACAGUCCCCGAAAGGGGAUCUUCCUUUAGGACAUUUUACGAGGUGGUGCAUGGCC
rnacentral:rRNA from 1 species